UCACCAUAUGAGAAAUGUUGUUGUCGUGUGUUAACACUGAGCUCCUUGCCUUGCUACUCUGGGUCAUUAACAUUCUUGGAUUUAGCCUUCUUGAUGUUGCUUUGUCAGCUUGCAUUUGUGGAGCUGGAAUAGAGAGCAUAGGUAGCGUCAAUCCACUACCAAUAUAUUGAAAGUCAAGGAACCUGGUUCUUUAUGUUUGAUCUGACUCAAGUUUCUCAUAUCUUGCCGGGUCCUUUUUGUUGGCUGAAAUAAAUAGGCUAGUUAACAUUUCACUCAUUUGAUGCCCUUGAGGCAGUUUGUAAUCAUUCUAGUGAAGAAGAAAAUGCUUAGCCUUCCCAUCCCCAUCACCCCUUGUUUGGUGAUACUCUUAAGUAUGGGCAUUGUAGUUUAUCACUAUUAAUCAACC